ACAUCCAGAGAAGCUUGUAGAGAUACGAGUGUGCCUUCGGGAGCUCUGAGACAGGUGCUGCAUGGCUGUCGUCAGCUCGUGUUGUGAAAUGUUGGGUUAAGUCCGCAACGAGCGCAACCCUUAUCCUUGUUUGCCAGCACUUCGGGUGGGAACUCCAGGGAGACUGCCGGUGAUAAACCGGAGGAAGGUGGGGACGACGUCAAGUCAUCAUGGCCCUUACGAGUAGGGCUACACACGUGCUACAAUGGCGCAUACAGAGGGCGGCGAGCCAGCGAUGGUGAGCGAAUCCCAAAAAGUGCGUCGUAGUCCGGAUUGGAGUCUGCAACUCGACUCCAUGAAGUCGGAAUCGCUAGUAAUCGUGGAUCAGAAUGCCACGGUGAAUACGUUCCCGGGCCUUGUACACACCGCCCGUCACACCAUGGGAGUGGGCUGCAAAAGAAGUGGGUAGUUUAACCUUAGGGGGGACGCUCACCACUUUGUGGUUCAUGACUGGGGUGAAGUCGUAACAAGGUAGGCGUAGUGCU
rnacentral:rRNA from 1 species